rnacentral:rRNA from 1 species
CCUACGGGAGGCAGCAGUGGGGAAUAUUGCACAAUGGGGGAAACCCUGAUGCAGCGACGCCGCGUGAGUGAAGAAGUAAUUCGUUACGUAAAGCUCUAUCAGCAGGGAAGAAACACUGACCUUACGGUCAGCAGACGGUACCUGAGUAAGAAGCCCCGGCUAACUACGUGCCAGCAGCCGCGGUAAUACGUAGGGGGCAAGCGUUAUCCGGAUUUACUGGGUGUAAAGGGAGCGUAGACGGUGCGCCAAGGCUGCAGUGAAAUGCCGCAGCUGAACUGCGGAAGUGCUUUGGAAACUGGCGAACGAGAGGUGGGGCGGGGUAAGGCGAAGUCCUAGUG